ACUAAGCAAGGAAUUCCCUUAGUUAACCGGCGAGCGAACCGGGAAGAGCUCAAAUCUGAAAUCUGGCGUCCUCCGGGCGUCCGAGUUGUAAUCUAUAGAAGCGUUUUCCGCGCCGGACCGUGUAUAAGUCUCCUGGAACGGAGUAUCAAAGAGGGUGACAAUCCCGUGCUUUACACGACGACCGGUGCUAUGUGAUACGUUCUCUACGAGUCGAGUUGUUUGGGAAUGCAGCUCAAAACGGAUAGUAAACUCCAUCUAAAGCUAAAUAUUGGUGGGAGACCGAUAGCGAACAAGUACCGUGAGGGAAAGAUGAAAAGCACUUUGGAAAGAGAGUUAAACAGUAUGUGAAAUUGUUGAAAGGGAAACGAUUGAAGUCAGUCGUGUCCAUUGGGUUCAGCCGGUCCUGCCGGUCUACUCCCUUUGGACGGGUCAACAUCAGUUCUGACCGGCGGAUAAUGGCACGAGGAACGUGGCACCCUCCGGGGUGUGUUAUAGCCUCGCGUCGCAUACGCUGGUCGGGACUGAGGAACGCAGCUCGCCUUCAUGGCCGGAGUACGCCCACGUACGAGCUUAGGAUGUUGACAUAAUGGCUUUAAACGACUUCUCGUCUUGAG
rnacentral:rRNA from 1 species